rnacentral:rRNA from 1 species
UGGCGGCAGCUUACCAUGCAAGUCGAACGGUAGCACAGAGGAGCUUGCUCCUUGGGUGACGAGUGGCGGACGGGUGAGUAAUGCUUGGGAAUCUGGCUUAUGGAGGGGGAUAACUACUGGAAACGGUAGCUAAUACCGCGUAAUAUCGGAAGAUUAAAGGGUGGGACCUUCGGGCCACUUGCCAUAAGAUGAGCCCAAGUGGGAUUGGGUGGUUGGUGGGGUAAAGGCCUACCAAGCCGACGAUCUCUAGCUGGUCUGAGAGGAUGGCCAGCCACACUGGAACUGAGACACGGUCCAGACUCCUACGGGAGGCAGCAGUGGGGAAUAUUGCACAAUGGGGGGAACCCUGAUGCAGCCAUGCCGCGUGAAUGAAGAAGGCCUUCGGGUUGUAAAGUUCUUUCGGUGAUGAGGAAGGCAGGUAUUUUAAUAGAAUACUUGAUUGACGUUAGUCACAGAAGAAGCACCGGCUAACUCCGUGCCAGCAGCCGCGGUAAU